GACGAACGCUGGCGGCGUGCUUAACACAUGCAAGUCGAACGGAAAGGCCUCUUUCGGGGGGUACUCGAGUGGCGAACGGGUGAGUAACACGUGAGUAACCUGCCCUUGACUUUGGGAUAACUUCAGGAAACUGGGGCUAAUACCGGAUAGGAGCUCCUGCUGCAUGGUGGGGGUUGGAAAGUUUCGGCGGUUGGGGAUGGACUCGCGGCUUAUCCGCUUGUUGGUGGGGUAGUGGCUUACCAAGGCCUUGCCGGGUAGCCGGCCUGAGAGGGUGACCGGCCACAUUGGGACUGAGAUACGGACCAGACUCCUACGGGAGGCAGUAGUGGGGAAUCUUGCACAAUGGGUGGAAGCCUGAUGCAGCAACGCCGUGUGCGGGAUGACGGCCUUCGGGUUGUAAACCGCUUUCGCUCAUGACGAAGCUUUGUGUGACGGUAGUGGGUAAAGAAGCACCGGCUAACUACGU
rnacentral:rRNA from 1 species